GACGUAGGGCGCGAGCGUUGUCCGGAUUUAUUGGGCGUAAAGAGCUCGUAGGCGGCUUGUCGCGUCGUCCGUGAAAACCCAUGGCUCAACUGUGGGCUUGCGGUCGAUACGGGCAGGCUGGAGUUCGGUAGGGGAGACUGGAAUUCCCGGUGUAGCGGUGAAAUGCGCAGAUAUCAGGAGGAACACCGGUGGCGAAGGCGGGUCUCUGGGCCGAUACUGACGCUGAGGAGCGAAAGCGUGGGGAGCGAACAGG
rnacentral:rRNA from 1 species